rnacentral:rRNA from 1 species
UACAGAGGUCUCAAGCGUUGUUCGGAUUCAUUGGGCGUAAAGGGUGCGUAGGUGGCGCUGUAAGUCGGGUGUGAAAUUUCGGAGCUUAACUCCGAAACUGCAUUCGAUACUGCGGUGCUUGAGGACUGGAGAGGAGACUGGAAUUCAUGGUGUAGCAGUGAAAUGCGUAGAGAUCAUGAGGAAGACCAGUGGCGAAGGCGGGUCUCUGGGCCGAUACUGACGCUGAGGAGCGAAAGCGUGGGGAGCAAACAGG